CUCAUGGCAAUGCUGGAUCCUUAAUCCACUGAGUGAGGCCAGGGACUGAACCUGUAUCCCCAUGGAUCCUAGUUGGGGUUGUUACCCUUAAGCCACAAUGGGAACUCUUUCAUUCCUUUGUUUAGAUCCAGUUUCCACUCUGGCUUCUUGGAAAAGAGAGAUGGGUUGGGAGGUGGGUAUAGUAAUCCAGGUGGUUAUUAAUAGGUUCUUGAAUCAGAGUGGAAGUAAAGGAGGAGGUGAGAAGUAGUCUAAUUCUGGAUAAGUUUUUUUAUGAUUUUUACUUUUUUCCAUUAUAGCAGAUAAUUCUGGAAACAUUUUGAAGGCAGAGCUACUAGAAUUUGCUGGUAAAUUUGAUAGAGGACUUGAGGGAACAUGUCAAGAAUGACUCCAGGAUUUUUGCCCAGGCAACUGGAAGAAUGGAGUGUCCAUUUCCUGAGAAUUAUUAAAUUUUCAGAUUCAGAAAGUUGCCAGUUACCUUCUAACUUGAGAAUUGUGAGAGGAUUAAAUCAGAAUAUUCAUGAUGUGCUUGGAACAGGACCUGACAAAUAGCAGGUAAAGGGGAAGGAGUUACUCACUGCUCAAAGAACCAACAGGAACAAAAAGGACUCAAAGCACCAGAGUAGACAAACAACUGGACAUUUAGUUUUAUUCCACCCUUCACUACUUCUUGAACCAAAAAAAUCACCAAAUCUUCCAGUGUUAACUGCUCCUCCUGCUCACUUACAAAUUAGUUUGUAUUCUUAAAAAUCAUUACAAAUUAAAUAUUCUCACACUCUGACCAAGUCUAACUUAUUCUUUGAGCCAUUUUUCCUCAUACUGCAAAAUAUGUAAUUCUGUAUAAAGUCUAUGCAGGAGAGUGGUUCAUUUAUUACCACUAUAGUAACACCAUUUCAGGCUUUUAUAAAAACAACCAAUCAGUCCUUUCAUGAUGACAAUGAUAUGAUAGCCUUUGCAAAUAAAGGAAGCACCACGGACCUAUUAUGAAUUGGAGAUGUGAGUUUUGUAUUGUUGUGUUAUCUGCAACUGUGAUGAUAUUUUACCCACCCACUCUCACUCUUUCGCCUGAUACUAAAUAAGCAAAAAUAUGCCUUGGCCAAAAAACUCACCAGAGGCUUAGUGUGGCCACAGAGGAUAAAAGUAACUGAACAACUAUCUUAGUCGGUUUGGGCUACUGUAACAAAUAUAUCAUAGACUGGGUGACUUAAACAAAAAACAUUUAUUUUUCACAGUUCUCAUAGCUGAGAAGUCCAAGAUCAAGGCUCAAGGUGCUGGCAGGUCCAGGGUCAGAUAAGAACUCCCUUCCUGGUGAACGGAUGUCUGUCUUUUCAAAU